CUUCUCACUACUACAUAAUACUACUUGUUACUUAAUUUAGAGUCUCUCUUACCCUUAACAUAUCCAAGCCCUACUCAUUUUUCCUUUAGAUUUUUCUGUGUCCCUCUCUUUGUGUGUGUGUGUGUCUAUAUAUCACUCUCUUCUGGUCUGGUACAAGAGUGCUCCUACAUGCAUGAAUAACAACAAUGGAAGUGGGGAUUCUCUCCCAGGAACAUCUCCAACAGUUAAAUGAAUAAUCUUUUACUUUCUCCUUUUAAGAAAGGAGUAGGCGAAGAACUUGGUUUUUGUCUUGCUUCUUCUUCUUCCUUCUUCUUAUAUAUUCCCUUUUCUUCUCUUAAACUUCUUAUCCUCCUUUUUUUUUAUGUUUAAUUUAUUUUUCGUUAAUAAAGUAGAUAUAGCAUAUUGUACUGCACGUAGAACUGGAUGGCCUUUUUCACUCACUUCAGUAGUAGCUAGAUGAGCAGACCAUUGCACUUAAUUUAUUUUUUGAACUUCUUUCACGAGUCAAUAAGAAAUAAUUAAUAUACUAUUAUUAUUAUUAUUAUUAUUAUUAUUAUUUACCAACAUAUUUACCCAUAGUUUUUUCUUUUAGGAAAAGAAAAAAGAGACAAAACAUUUAGCUAGCUUUCAAUGAUGAAAUGCUAAUAUAUCUUCUGUUAAUGUUGACUAGAACUGUUUUAAAAAUCGGAUUGCAUCAGCCAAUUUGACAGGAAAUAAGUCUAGUAACUAUUUUAUUAACUUUAAAAAAUCGGUUCACCUCAAACUAUGAGAAUCCGUCAAACCAAUCUAAAAUCGGUGAAAGACGGGAACAAAAAUACAGUACAAAAAACAGGUUUAAAUCAGUAAUUUUUUUCUUCAUUUUUUCAUUUUUAAACUUUUAUUUUUUUUUAUUUUAAAAAUAAAUAAAAAAACAUUUAAAGAUC
rnacentral:lncRNA from 1 species